rnacentral:rRNA from 1 species
AGCUACAGGCUUAACACAUGCAAGUCGAGGGGCAGCAUGGUCUUAGCUUGCUAAGGCCGAUGGCGACCGGCGCACGGGUGAGUAACACGUAUCCAACCUGCCGUCUACUCUUGGACAGCCUUCUGAAAGGAAGAUUAAUACAAGAUGGCAUCAUGAGUCCACAUGUUCACAUGAUUAAAGGUAUUCCGGUAGACGAUGGGGAUGCGUUCCAUUAGAUAGUAGGCGGGGUAACGGCCCACCUAGUCUUCGAUGGAUAGGGGUUCUGAGAGGAAGGUCCCCCACAUUGGAACUGAGACACGGUCCAAACUCCUACGGGAGGCAGCAGUGAGGAAUAUUGGUCAAUGGGCGAGAGCCUGAACCAGCCAAGUAGCGUGAAGGAUGACUGCCCUAUGGGUUGUAAACUUCUUUUAUAAAGGAAUAAAGUCGGGUAUGCAUACCCGUUUGCAUGUACUUUAUGAAUAAGGAUCGGCUAACUCCGUGCCAGCAGCCGCGGUAAUACGGAGGAUCCGAGCGUUAUCCGGAUUUAUUGGGUUUAAAGGGAGCGUAGAUGGAUGUUUAAGUCAGUUGUGAAAGUUUGCGGCUCAACCGUAAAAUUGCAGUUGAUACUGGAUAUCUUGAGUGCAGUUGAGGCAGGCGGAAUUCGUGGUGUAGCGGUGAAAUGCUUAGAUAUCACGAAGAACUCCGAUUGCGAAGGCGGCCUGCUAAGCUGCAACUGACAUUGAGGCUCGAAAGUGUGGGUAUCAAACAGGAUUAGAUACCCUGGUAGUCCACACGGUAAACGAUGAAUACUCGCUGUUUGCGAUAUACAGCAAGCGGCCAAGCGAAAGCGUUAAGUAUUCCACCUGGGGAGUACGCCGGCAACGGUGAAACUCAAAGGAAUUGACGGGGGCCCGCACAAGCGGAGGAACAUGUGGUUUAAUUCGAUGAUACGCGAGGAACCUUACCCGGGCUUAAAUUGCAGAUGAAUUACGGUGAAAGCCGUAAGCCGCAAGGCAUCUGUGAAGGUGCUGCAUGGUUGUCGUCAGCUCGUGCCGUGAGGUGUCGGCUUAAGUGCCAUAACGAGCGCAACCCUUGUUGUCAGUUACUAACAGGUCAUGCUGAGGACUCUGACAAGACUGCCAUCGUAAGAUGUGAGGAAGGUGGGGAUGACGUCAAAUCAGCACGGCCCUUACGUCCGGGGCUACACACGUGUUACAAUGGGGGGUACAGAGGGCCGCUACCACGCGAGUGGAUGCCAAUCCCAAAAACCUCUCUCAGUUCGGACUGGAGUCUGCAACCCGACUCCACGAAGCUGGAUUCGCUAGUAAUCGCGCAUCAGCCACGGCGCGGUGAAUACGUUCCCGGGCCUUGUACACACCGCCCGUCAAGCCAUGGGAGCCGGGGGUACCUGAAGUGCGUAACCGCGAGGAGCGCCCUAGGGUAAAACUGGUGACUGGGGCU